rfam:Schistosoma mansoni strain Puerto Rico chromosome 1, complete genome
AGCUUUUUGAAUUUGUGUAAAGAUUUCGUCAGACACCAACUUAUUAGGUCUGAUCAAACUUCCAAGAUAAGUGAAGUU